rnacentral:rRNA from 1 species
UGGGGAAUAUUGGACAAUGGGCGAAAGCCUGAUCCAGCCAUGCCGCGUGAGUGAUGAAGGCCUUAGGGUUGUAAAGCUCUUUCAGUGGGGAAGAUAAUGACGGUACCCACAGAAGAAGCCCCGGCUAACUUCGUGCCAGCAGCCGCGGUAAUACGAAGGGGGCUAGCGUUGUUCGGAUUUACUGGGCGUAAAGCGCACGUAGGCGGAUCGUUAAGUCGAGGGUGAAAUCCUGGAGCUCAACUCCAGAACUGCCUUCGAUACUGGCGAUCUAGAGUCCGGAAGAGGUGAGUGGAACUCCUAGUGUAGAGGUGGAAUUCGUAGAUAUUAGGAAGAACACCAGUGGCGAAGGCGGCUCACUGGUCCGGUACUGACGCUGAUGUGCGAAAGCGUGGGGAGCAAACAGGAUUAGAUACCCUGGUAGUCCACGCCGUAAACUAUGGAAGCUAGCCGUUGGGGGGUUUACCUCUCAGUGGCGCAGCUAACGCAUUAAGCUUCCCGCCUGGGGAGUACGGUCGCAAGAUUAA